rnacentral:rRNA from 1 species
AUGGCUGGUAGGACGGCCGAAAAGUUCAGGGAGGUGCAGAGCAAGAUCGACUUCUGCCUCAUCCUCUUCCCUGUGAUCAGCCACAUCGGCAUAACACGUCGCCUCGAAUGGAUCUACAACGUGCUUGUUCAAGAUGGCUCCACCAGAGAUGAACCGUCACCACUUCCACAACUGCAGAGGUUGCCCAGGAGGCUUCACGAUGGGCGAGGGGUGGCCAUCAAGCGGAUCAAUAAUGACGAGUACUGCAUAAAGGUAUUCAGCACGGAGCUCCACACCCUACCACGGCUCCAACACAAACACAUCGUCCACCUGCUUGGAUUGUGUGUGACCGUGAGCAAGGAAAAGCGCCUACCAACAACCCGGCAAAAGAGAAAAAAGGGCCUGCUAACAAGGCGGACAAAGGAGCUGGAAGAGCCAGAAGAGCAACAGAGGUUGGUCGUCUACGAGUACAUGGAAAAUGGCACACUCUUCGACCACCUGCACGCUGAUCAGGGCUCCUCCACGUUGUCGCCGGUGACGGUGUCCUGGAAGAUGCGCAUUGAUGUGCUCCUCGGCGUGUCGCGCGCCAUCGAGCACCUGCACUGUCAUGCCAACCCGCCGAUCAUCCAUCGGGACAUCAAGCCGAGUAACAUCCUUUUCGGCGCCAACUGGGUACCACGUGUGUCAGACUUUGGCUUGUCGCUCGUCUGGGACAUGGCGAGUGAGGUGCCGUGGUUGGAUGUCACCGUUAGAGGCACACUUGGAUACAUCGACCUUGAAGGAGGAGAUGAAUAUAGAUCUGGCAUCCUUUGCACUCCCCAUCAUUGA